rnacentral:rRNA from 1 species
GACGAACGCUGGCGGCGUGCCUAAUACAUGCAAGUCGAGCGAGCGGAACUAACAGAUUUACUUCGGUAAUGACGUUAGGAAAGCGAGCGGCGGAUGGGUGAGUAACACGUGGGGAACCUGCCCCAUAGUCUGGGAUACCACUUGGAAACAGGUGCUAAUACCGGAUAAGAAAGCAGAUCGCAUGAUCAGCUUUUAAAAGGCGGCGUAAGCUGUCGCUAUGGGAUGGCCCCGCGGUGCAUUAGCUAGUUGGUAAGGUAAAGGCUUACCAAGGCGAUGAUGCAUAGCCGAGUUGAGAGACUGAUCGGCCACAUUGGGACUGAGACACGGCCCAAACUCCUACGGGAGGCAGCAGUAGGGAAUCUUCCACAAUGGACGCAAGUCUGAUGGAGCAACGCCGCGUGAGUGAAGAAGGUUUUCGGAUCGUAAAGCUCUGUUGUUGGUGAAGAGGGAUAGAGGUAGUAACUGGCCUUUAUUUGACGGUAAUCAACCAGAAAGUCACGGCUAACUACGUG